UCUACGGGGUGCAGCAGUCGCGAAAACUCCGCAAUGCACGAAAGUGUGACGGGGCUACCCCGAGUGCCAUCCGCUGAGGAUGGCUUUUCUUUGGUAUAACUAGCCAGGGGAAUAAGGAGAGGGCAAGACUGGUGUCAGCCGCCGCGGUAAUACCAGCUCUCCGAGUGGUAGGGAUGAUUAUUGGGCUUAAAGCGUCCGUAGCCGGAUUAGCAAGUUUCCUGUUAAACUCAGCGACUCAAUCGUUGGAUCGCGGGAAAUACUACUAGGCUAGGAGGCGGGAGAGGUCAACGGUACUUCUGGGGUAGGGGUGAAAUCCUAUAAUCCCGGGAGGACCACCAGUGGCGAAGGCUGUUGACUAGAACGCGCUCGACGUGAGACGAAGUAAACCGGGGGAGCACACUGGAAUAGCUA
rnacentral:rRNA from 1 species